CGAGCGGACAGAAGGGAGCUUGCUCCCGGAUGUUAGCGGCGGACGGGUGAGUAACACGUGGGUAACCUGCCUGUAAGACUGGGAUAACUCCGGGAAACCGGAGCUAAUACCGGAUAGUUCCUUGAACCGCAUGGUUCAAGGAUGAAAGACGGUUUCGGCUGUCACUUACAGAUGGACCCGCGGCGCAUUAGCUAGUUGGUGAGGUAACGGCUCACCAAGGCGACGAUGCGUAGCCGACCUGAGAGGGUGAUCGGCCACACUGGGACUGAGACACGGCCCAGACUCCUACGGGAGGCAGCAGUAGGGAAUCUUCCGCAAUGGACGAAAGUCUGACGGAGCAACGCCGCGUGAGUGAUGAAGGUUUUCGGAUCGUAAAGCUCUGUUGUUAGGGAAGAACAAGUGCAAGAGUAACUGCUUGCACCUUGACGGUACCUAACCAGAAAGCCACGGCUAACUACGUGCCAGCAGCCGCGGUAAUACGUAGGUGGCAAGCGUUGUCCGGAAUUAUUGGGCGUAAAGGGCUCGCAGGCGGUUUCUUAAGUCUGAUGUGAAAGCCCCCGGCUCAACCGGGGAGGGUCAUUGGAAACUGGGAAACUUGAGUGCAGAAGAGGAGAGUGGAAUUCCACGUGUAGCGGUGAAAUGCGUAGAGAUGUGGAGGAACACCAGUGGCGAAGGCGACUCUCUGGUCUGUAACUGACGCUGAGGAGCGAAAGCGUGGGGAGCGAACAGGAUUAGAUACCCUGGUAGUCCACGCCGUAAACGAUGAGUGCUAAGUGUUAGGGGGGUUUCCGCCCCUUAGUGCUGCAGCUAACGCAUUAAGCACUCCGCCUGGGGAGUACGGUCGCAAGACUGAAACUCAAAGGAAUUG
rnacentral:rRNA from 1 species